UCUCGUGCCCUAGCCAUCACCUUCGCUGAAUCGCUCUCCCUCUCCCUCCCGCGCCGACUCCUCCUUCUCCCUCUCUUCCGCACGAUCGACGCAGACGACCCUCUCAUCAUCGACGUUGAUCCGCCCUCUUCGGUCUCGAGUGAGAAGUGGUCCCUCUCUGAGUUUCCUCGCGCCGUCGCAGACGCUGCAAGACCCGAAUCUGGCAUUCCCUCUGCCCUAGCUUCGAUCCGCCAAUUUUCCCUUUCUCCCCAGUCGCUCACUCUUGCGAGCCCUAAUCAUCCGAUGUCGAUUAUCGACGCCCAUAGCCAAUCACCUGUCCAAGAUGAGGCACAACCUUGACACAAUGAGUAACCCAACACCUUGGUCCUAAUGCGUCGCCGAUUGCCGCAAUCAGUAGCUGCUUCUUCUUUCCCUGCAUGAGAGUUGCCGACUGAGGAAAAGAGGUGCUAUCUCUAGGGGUCCAACCAUACUUUUUCUUCUCCUCUCGCCUUCAAGGUGCGAUUGAUCACGGGUUUGGAGUCACUCGAUCACACUGAGAACAGCCAGUACCGGUUGAAGAAUUGGGGAUCAUUUGAGCUGUCAGACAGAGGCUUGUAGGGUUGUGAGCUUUUGAUUUGUUGCUAUACCUCAAGAUUGCCGAUACGUGACAGGAGCUUAGAUCAGAGGGCGUUUAGCUCGAUCUACAUUAAUGCGGGUACUUCUUACUUUGACUCUUUUUAGUUCUUUGAAACUUGGUGUAUGAGCUAUUAUUUUUGGAUAAGGACUGUUUUAUCUUGACUCCACUCGUAUUUUUCUUGUGCUUGAUACUUCCACUCAAACCUUUGAGUUAUUCGUUUCUA